GACGAACGCUGGCGGCGUGCUUAACACAUGCAAGUCGAACGGAAAGGCCCUGCUUGCAGGGUACUCGAGUGGCGAACGGGUGAGUAACACGUGGGUGAUCUGCCCUGCACUUCGGGAUAAGCCUGGGAAACUGGGUCUAAUACCGGGUAGGAGCCAUUUUUAGUGUGAUGGUUGGAAAGUUUUUUCGGUGUAGGAUGAGCUCGCGGCCUAUCAGCUUGUUGGUGGGGUAAUGGCCUACCAAGGCGGCGACGGGUAGCCGGCCUGAGAGGGUGGACGGCCACAUUGGGACUGAGAUACGGCCCAGACUCCUACGGGAGGCAGCAGUGGGGAAUAUUGCACAAUGGGCGCAAGCCUGAUGCAGCGACGCCGCGUGGGGGAUGACGGCCUUCGGGUUGGAAACUCCUUUCGCUAGGGACGAAGCUUUUUGUGACGGUACCUAGAGAAGAAGCACCGGCUAACUACGUG
rnacentral:rRNA from 1 species